GCGUCGGUCGUCCAACGGCAGGGCCCGGGGCCUCCAACCCCGUGACGAGGGAUCAUCCCCCUCCCGUCGCACCA
rnacentral:tRNA from 1 species